UCUCUCUGAAACUGCACACUCAAUGGAAGAGGACAACCUUCCCCAAUAGAGGAGGACUGUUCCUCAGUUGAGGGUAUAUGGAGUAGCUGUGCUUCCCUGGUAGAAUCUCCACACAAGCUCUCAGGGAAAGCUGAGGUAGAAGGACCACUUUAGC
rnacentral:sRNA from 1 species